AGGUGGUUUUUCUGCAACGUACAAUCUAAAAAAGUCAUCCAGUAUUUUGAAAGGAGAGAUUGCUUUUGUGAAGCAACUGCAGAAAUGGUUGGGGAAGAAAUGUAAAUGGAAUCUUUGUUACAGAGCUUCCAGAGAUGGUUGGAGUGCCCAAGAUUUUCACAAACAUUGCGACAAUAACGGAGCGACAGUCGUUUUGGUGAAAGCCAAUGAUUGUAUUUUUGGAGGAUACACUGACCAACACUGGGACGGUAUGUCAGAUAAGAUACAUAAUAUUUCCAUAAUUUAUGAGAGCUAUAUAUUUGUACUGCAAACUGGUCGUUCGCACAAUAUCGGACGAAUUCGGAACCGUACGCCAAUUCGUUCAGUUCCAUUUGUUUACACGAGAAUUCCUAGGGUUGUGUUUGAGUUCGCCCAGUUUCAUGUGUCCCAUGUGAACGCAUCGAUUGGGUCAAAAUCAUCCCGAUCAUAUCCAAAAGUAAAUAUUAUAGAAACUAUUAAAUACUUUAUUAAUAUCUGAUCAUUAAUUUUGUUCAAUUUUAAGGACCCGGUGUUUAUAAACAUUCUAACUCGUCAUUUUUAUUCUCCCUACGCAACAAAGCGAACCUUGCUCCAUUUAUUGCCAACAUCAAGCAAGGUGAGCAGCAGCAUGCAAUCUACUGUUACCCUGGUUAUGGACCAGUCUUUGGUGGAGGUAUUAAUGAUCUGUGGAUUCGUGAUAAUCCUGAACAUAAUCAAUCAUCCAGCAAUUUUGGAAGCUCAUAUCAACUUCCUCCUGAUUAUGUCGAGAACAGUGAACAAGCAAAGAACCUUCUUGAUGGUCAGUACAAUUUCUUAACAACAGAAAUUGAAGUCUUCAACUGAAAACUUUUCGUUUAUAACAAUCCUCAAGUUAAUCAAUCAGACAGCAAUUUUGGAGACACAUAUCAACGUCCGCCCGAUUAUGUCUACAUGUAUGGCAGCGAACAAGCAACGAACCUUCUUACUGGUCUGUACCGUCUGGGAUUGACCGUGCCAAUAAUUUACAUGAUUUCACAAAACUUUUGACAAAAAUUUUCCGGACGAUUUUUGUCAAAAGUUUGGUAAAAUUAUCUGAAUCUUCUAUGAUCAAGAAAACACUGAUAAACCGAGUUUAGAAUAUCAUACUAAACAACAAGAGUUUAUACGAG